rnacentral:rRNA from 1 species
CGCAAUGGGCGAAAGCCUGACGUAGCGACACCGCGUGAACGAAGAAGCCUUUUGGGGUGUAAAGUUCUGUCGGCUGGGACGAAAAAAAUGACGGUACCAGCAAAGGAAGCAUCGGCUAACUACGUGCCAGCAGCCGCGGUAAGACGUAGGAUGCAAGCGUUGUCCGGAUUUAUUGGGCGUAAAGAGUUCGUAGGCGGUUUGUUAAGUCUGGUGUUAAAGAUCAGGGCCCAACCCUGGGAUUGCAUUGGAUACUGGCAGACUGGAGUGUGGUAGAGGUAAGUGGAAUUUCUGGUGUAGCGGUGAAAUGCGUAGAUAUCAGGAAGAACACCAGUGGCGUAGGCGACUUACUGGGCCAUAACUGACGCUGAGGAACGAAAGCCA